GGGGCCAGCUGAAGGACGCCUCCGAGCGCGGGAAUUUCUCACUGCAUUGAAGAACUAUUGGUGACCUUCUGCUGUUGUCUUUUCUAUGAUCGGGUCGUUGUCUCUUUGACACAUUCCCCAUUUCUAUUCUCAAUUUUAAGAAUAUAAUUCAUGACACAAAUGUGACAUUCAAACUCAGAGACCGAAAACAGACUGACAAGGCCAUAUCUAAAAAGGAAAAGACAAACAAAAAAAAUUAGUACACAUG
rnacentral:lncRNA from 1 species